GUGUGGGUCUCAUUCCACGAGAUCCGUGCCGCAGCUAACGCAUUAAGUUCCCCGCCUGGGGAGUACGGCCGCAAGGCUAAAACUCAAAGGAAUUGACGGGGGCCCGCACAAGCGGCGGAGCAUGUGGAUUAAUUCGAUGCAACGCGAAGAACCUUACCAAGGCUUGACAUAUACCGGAAACAUCUAGAGAUAGAUGCCCCGCAAGGUCGGUAUACAGGUGGUGCAUGGUUGUCGUCAGCUCGUGUCGUGAGAUGUUGGGUUAAGUCCCGCAACGAGCGCAACCCUCGUUCUAUGUUGCCAGCGCGUAAAGGCGGGGACUCAUAGAAGACUGCCGGGGUCAACUCGGAGGAAGGUGGGGAUGACGUCAAAUCAUCAUGCCCCUUAUGUCUUGGGCUUCACACAUGCUACAAUGGCCGGUACAAAGGGCUGCGAAAUCGCAAGAUGGAGCGAAUCCCAAAAAACCGGUCUCAGUUCGGAUUGGGGUCUGCAACUCGACCCCAUGAAGUCGGAGUCGCUAGUAAUCGCAGAUCAGCAACGCUGCGGUGAAUACGUUCCCGGGCCUUGUACACACCGCC
rnacentral:rRNA from 1 species